rnacentral:lncRNA from 1 species
AUGGGUGAUAGCGAGACAAACAAGAAAUCUAAGAGACAGCGAAAGUGGGGCAAGUUCCACACAGGCACCUGCUGUUCUCACAUCCCAGCCGGGCUGUACGGGAACCACCGUGCAGAACAGGAGCGUGCCGAGCGGCCGGGACCCCCGGGAGAGCCGCCCCGGAGCAGGGGCCAGGCCGCAGCCCAACUCAUGCCGCGCCGCCCGGGCCUGCUCGCACACAGCAGGCGGGCCCCGGGCCCGCGCGGCGCUUUGGGCCCCUUCCCCACACGGCGCCGCCCGGGGCAGGGGAGGCACCGCCUCCCCCUCCUCGCCGCCCCCGCACGGGGCACCCGGUGGAGUGAGGGGCUCCCCGGCAGAGCCGCCCCGCUCUGCCCCCGGCCUCUCGCACAGACUUUACGGCACCCGCCGCCUCCCCCCCGCCCGCAGCUUCGGCCCGCUCCGACAGGCCCGGGCAGCGACGCUCGAGUUCCCGGCGAGCCGCAGGCCGCGCAGGGUGACCCGGCCUGGCUGCGAGGGAAAGGCGCCGUCUCCCAGAGCGGGCCGGAGAGGCCCCGCGCCACCCCGGCCGCUCACCUUAGCCUCCCGCAGCCUCCUCGCCGGAGCCGAGCCCUCCUCAGCGCCACGCCGGGACCAGGGCAGCGGCGCGGCGGCGGCAGCCCGAGCCCCGCGGCAGGCGGCGGCCAGCGGCAUCCAUGGCGCUCCGCCCGGCGCGGGUGGGCGGGCGGGGCAGGAGCCGAGCUCGGGGCGGAGCUGAGGCGGCGGAGCGGCCGCUGGGGGCGCUGCGGGAGCCCCGCGGAGAAGGGGCCGCUCCGCGGGCCCGCUCCGCCCGCGCCGCCGCUGCGGAACCGCGAGCGAGGUCCCGGGGAGCCCCGGCCGCGGCCUGCCCGGCGAAGGGCCUUCCCCGGCUCCGGUGGCCUUUCCCUGGCUACGCGGAUUUAUUUUUUAUGGUUUACAGGUCAUCUUAUUUCUUGCCAUAUUCUGAUUAUUUACUUCAAUACAAUAGUCUUUUACGGUGAAGCCUAUACUUUUCAGGGGUCACUGUUGAAAACGCUUUGA